UCUCCGUAGGUGAACCUGCGGAGGGAUCAUUACAGAGUUCAUGCCCUCACGGGUAGAUCUCCCACCCUGUGUUAUUAUACUUUGUUGCUUUGGCAGGCCGCCCGCGUGGGCUACCGGCUCCAGCUGGUAAGUGCCUGCCAGAGGACCCCAAACUCUGAAUAUUUUAUUGUCUGAGUACUAUAUAAUAGUUUAAAACUUUCAACAACGGAUCUCUUGGUUCUGGAAUCGAUGAAGAACGCAGC
rnacentral:misc_RNA from 1 species